rnacentral:rRNA from 1 species
AACGAACGCUGGCGGCGUGGAUUAGGCAUGCAAGUCGAACGGAGCUUUAGCUUUUUCGAAGCUUAGUGGCGAAAGGGUGAGUAACACGUGGGUUACCUGCCCUCGGGUUCGGGAUAACCUGUCGAAAGACGGGCUAAUACCGGAUACGUUUCCAUAUUUUAAUUGAUGUGGAAAGAAAGAUGGGGACCUCGCAAGAGACCUAUCACCCCUGGAUGGGCCCGCGGCCUAUCAGCUAGUUGGUGAGGUAAUGGCUCACCAAGGCUAAGACGGGUAGCUGGUCUGAGAGGAUGGUCAGCCACACUGGGACUGAGACACUGCCCAGACUCCUACGGGAGGCUGCAGUCGAGAAUCUUUCGCAAUGGGGGAAACCCUGACGAAGCGACGCCGCGUGUAGGAUGAAGGUCUUCGGAUUGUAAACUACUGUCAGCUGGGAAGAAAAAGUUUGCUAUGAACAAUAGCAGACCUUGACGGUACCAGCAGAGGAAGCCACGGCUAACUCUGUGCCAGCAGCCGCGGUAAUACAGAGGUGGCAAGCGUUGUUCGGAUUUAUUGGGCGUAAAGGGUCCGUAGGCGGUUUGAAAAGUCGGAUGUGAAAUCCUACAGCUCAACUGUAGAACUGCAUUCGAAACUCUCGAACUAGAGUGUGAAAGGGGUAAAGGGAAUUCCCGGUGUAAGGGUGAAAUCUGCAGAGAUCGGGAGGAACACCUGUCGCGAAGGCGCUUUACUGGUUCACUACUGACGCUCAGGGACGAAAGCUAGGGGAGCAAACGGGAUUAGAUACCCCGGUAGUCCUAGCCGUAAACUAUGGUCACUAGGUGUUGGAGGGGUUAAACCCUUCAGUGCCGUCGCUCACGCAUUAAGUGACCCGCCUGGGGAGUACGGUCGCAAGGCUG